rnacentral:rRNA from 1 species
UACGUAGGGGGCAAGCGUUUAUCCGGAUUUAUUGGGCGUAAAGAGCUCGUAGGCGGCCGUUCGCGUCGGAUGUGAAAGCUCAGGCUCAACUCUGAGACGCCAUUCGAUACGGGACGGCUAGAGGUAGGUAGGGGAAAGUGGAAUUCCUGGUGUAGCGGUGAAAUGCGCAGAUAUCAGGAGGAACACCGGUGGCGAAGGCGGCUUUCUGGGCCUUACCUGACGCUGAGGAGCGAAAGCUGGGGGGAGCGAACGGGG